rnacentral:misc_RNA from 1 species
UUUUAAAGAGAACAGAAGAAUCUUAGAAGUAGAAGAAUGGUAUGUUCUCUUUAAAAGUUCAAAGUUUGAAAUUGCAUUCCAUCUAGCACAUCAGUUUCUCUUAAAAGAAAUGAUAGAGAGAAGAUAAUAUUUAAACAAACAACUAGGAGGCUAGGAGCCGAGGACUGAUAAUAUUUCAGCCUUCAACUCAUGAUUCUAUCUAAUUAAAAAUUACAAGUUAGCUUGUCCCAAUCAAGUGCAGAAAACUGAUUACAUAUGAACAUCACUACCCACAAAUCUAUAUCUCACUCUUUCUAGAAGUAAUCCAACAAACAAUGCAAAAGGAAACCCUCCAAUCAUCUAAGUUAUGAUAACUAUAAAUUUUAUCCUUACAAAGUAAGAUCCCAUUUUCAGAACAUAAAUCUAUCUUGAAGAAAGCCUUUGGUGCAAAUCAUCUGCCAAUGCCUGCCUCAAGCUACCCCCAAAAUAAUUAAAUGAUUUUUCGUUCUCAAGCACCCUUGUAGGAGACCCAUUCUCAUCUGGUUCCUUCCAAAUCUCUGGCUCCGGCUCCCUCGCAACUUGACACAAAUUAUGCAACACACAACACGCAACAAUUGUCUGUGGGGCAUGAUUAAG